UAGGAGCAGAGGGCCAGAGUGGGCAUAGAAAUAUUUUCUUCCAAGAUCACAAGGGAUGGCAGUUGAGCCACAUCCCUGACUUGGCCAGUCAGGCUAGGUCACUCAAUGAUGUUAAAUUGCUCAAAAAGAGAAGUAAUGGCUUUUAAAUGAUGUUUCCUCUUUUGUCUUCUGCAAGGGAAGAUUCAGGGCAGCUGGUGUUGUAGCUCCAUCUACCAGGAAGCAACGAGUCAAGCUCUGCUGUCAGUCACAGAUGGUGUAAUUAAUUCUUCUAGGUAGUGUAAUUAGUCUGUCCUAUCAGCUACAUAUUUUCUCAGUCAAAAUUAUGCUAAAGCUAAUAAUACAUAAAACAGAAAACAAAAAAGCAACUCAAAAAAGGGGAAGCAAUAAUGGGAGGAGAAGGGAUUAGAACAAAAUUUACCAGUGUAUAAUUUUUUCUUGUUGUACAUUUCCUCUUCCCUUCAGCUUCAAACACAAUUCUGAACAACUGGUGAAUGUAGCAAGCAGAAUGAAUACAAAUUGGCUUACUUUAAAUAGCAGCGUGUAGGACUUAGCCAAAGUCUGCUUUCAGAUGCUGAGGCGCGAUAAGGCACAGAUCCUGCAACGAAACUCUGUGCGGGCAUUGUGUCAGGGCUGUGCUUCUGCACUGUGCCAUGCCUGAAAGUCUGGGGUAUAGGAAUGCAGCUAGAGGUGUGUGUCCACUGGUAGCCUGUGCCAUUCUUCAUCUGGGGUCUCAGAAGAGGUUCCUCUGGUGACUAGAAAACUUUCUGCAGCAACUUGCAUGAGAUUCUACCUUGGACCAUGUUUCUCUGACAACACAGUUGUCCCAAGGUGAGUGAGAAGCCUUGCACAGUGAGUACAAUGGUGUGUAAGAUAUUGGGCUCAGGAUACUGAGUUGUUGAAUGUUUCUCAGGAGAUAUGUGUAAGACAUGGCGUUCAUAGUCAGUAAAAGUAGAAUUUAAAACACUUUUCAGAUUUCUUGUGCUCUACUUUAGAGCUGAAACCAUGCAGUGACUAGUGGUGCUCAGGUUAAUUUACAUUUGCACUGUUAAAGUAGACCUGAUCAUCAAUUAGGCUGGCAUGGCAAUUUCUCUCAUUGGUACAUAAUAGAAGGCCUUUAGGAUGCUGGAUUUGUCUGCCUUUCAUGUAUCUCCAGAAGGCUGCUGUGACAACUAACCACUAGUUCUGGACCUGUCAGCCUGGCUUGGAAGGUAUUGGAGAGCAUGCAUAGUUCUCCACUGUAGCUCUCUACUCCUGCUUCUUUUAUCCAAAUGCUAAGGAUACUUCAAAUUCAUGCUCUUAAAUCUUCCUAGAGUACAGAAACAAAGGCUUGAUUUGGAGGCAGGUUAGUUUGGUACAGUAAUUGCUUGAGCUUGCCUCAGGAUCCU
rnacentral:lncRNA from 1 species